GAUGAACGCUGGCGGCGUGCUUAACACAUGCAAGUCGAACGGGAAUUACUUCAUUGAGACUUCGGUGGAUUUGAUUUAUUUCUAGUGGCGGACGGGUGAGUAACGCGUGGGUAACCUGCCUUAUACAGGGGGAUAACAGCCAGAAAUGACUGCUAAUACCGCAUAAGCGCACAGGACCGCAUGGUCCGGUGUGAAAAACUCCGGUGGUAUAAGAUGGACCCGCGUUGGAUUAGCUUGUUGGUGGGGUAACGGCCCACCAAGGCGACGAUCCAUAGCCGGCCUGAGAGGGUGAACGGCCACAUUGGGACUGAGACACGGCCCAGACUCCUACGGGAGGCAGCAGUGGGGAAUAUUGCACAAUGGGGGAAACCCUGAUGCAGCGACGCCGCGUGAAGGAAGAAGUAUCUCGGUAUGUAAACUUCUAUCAGCAGGGAAGAUAGUGACGGUACCUGACUAAGAAGCCCCGGCUAACUACGUGCCAGCCGCCGCCGUAAAAC
rnacentral:rRNA from 1 species